ACUCAAAGGAAUUGACGGGGGCCUGCACAAGCGGUGGAGUAUGUGGCUUAAUUCGAUGCAACGCGAAGAACCUUACCUGGCCUUGACAUGCAAGUGGUAGAACCAUGAAAGUGGGACGACCCCGCAAGGGGAGCUUGCACAGGUGCUGCAUGGCUGUCGUCAGCUCGUGUCGUGAGAUGUUGGGUUAAGUCCCGCAACGAGCGCAACCCUUGUGUCCUGUUGCCACUCGGACGAGAGUCCGAAGCACUCUGGACAGACUGCCUCGCUUAAACGAGGAGGAAGGUGGGGAUGACGUCAAGUCAGUAUGGCCCUUACGGCCAGGGCUGCACACGUACUACAAUGCUCGGUACAAAGGGACGCGAAACCGUAAGGCGGAGCAAAUCCCAGAAAACCGAGCCCAGUUCAGAUUGUCGUCUGCAACUCGACGGCAUGAAGCCGGAAUCGCUAGUAAUGGCGCAUCAGCUACGGCGCCGUGAAUACGUUCCCAGGCCUUGUACACACCGCCCGU
rnacentral:rRNA from 1 species